rnacentral:rRNA from 1 species
UGUGUAGGCGGUUCUUUAAGUUUGCUGUGAAAUCUCCCGGCUUAACCGGGAGGGUGCGGUGAAUACUGAGGGACUAGAGUACGGGAGAGGAAAGUGGAAUUCCUGGUGUAGCGGUGAAAUGCGUAGAUAUCAGGAGGAACACCGGUGGUGUAGACGGCUUUCUGGACCGUAACUGACGCUGAGACACGAAAGCGUGGGUAGCAAAACA